AGGUAACAUUGUCUAAGUAUAGUAAUAGAGACAUGGUGAAGUGCCUCCUAACAGAGCAGAAGUGACUCCAUCGAAGACUACUUCUUGGGGAGGAUUUCACACAGUUCAUCAUCAAGCAAAGAUCAUUGCCUUCUGAGCAGAAGAGACUCUAAAUAAAUAUAGAAGAAUAGAAAUCUGAAGUGGAAAGUUGUAGCCAGAGCAUGCAUAUGAUACUGGCAGAUCUUUUCUAAAGAGAAAUUCAUUUUCCAUAAAUGCUUUACAAUGGAUCCUGAUGAUAAGACAUCUUACCAAAUGAUUUGCUGCUCAUCAUAAAGAUUUCCCAGUAAAUAAAAUUUCCAGGCUCAUCUCCUGUUAUUGCAUGAAUGUUUUGGAACUACAUCUCAGGAAAUAAGUGAGGAUUGCAAAUUAUGACUUUCAGUUUGGAAAUCCAGCAAUGAACUUUGUUGACUUGGUCUGGCCAUACUGGCCAUGGCUUAGCAUUUGACAGAACUUUAGGGUCUACAGUUUCUCCGCAAAGGAAGUUCUGAGCAAUGGAAGCAAGGCUGGGCUGAGCAAAAAACUUCCUAAAGUGAUUUUGGUUUCAAAAAUCUGAUUUAUUCUCUCAGAAUCACACAUAACAUUCUCAGCUCCGAGAGAGUGUGCGCAUCACUUUAGAAAGAACUCUUGACUGGAAAGCAGUAGAUGUAGGUUCAAGUUUAGUUCCCCAGUUUGGUAGGCGAGGGGAACCCCUCCUCUGUCAUGUGAGAGAGAAACACCUUGUCCAUCCGCACCUACAGAGUUGCAUGGAUCUACGCUGGACAUAGCUCAAAAACAAUGCAUGAGAAAGAAUAGAAAGAGCAUUGGACAUGGAGCCUCUGUAGGGCUGAAUUCCUGCUCACCACUUACUCCUGAUACUGGGAAGAUUUUCAACGUCUCCAAGACUGGGGUUCUUCAUUUGCAAAAGGAGGGCUGCAGGAACUUGGAGUACUACAUGUAAUAACAUACUGGUCAUCACUCUUGGCAAAUAUUGAAAGCUUCACUUGGUCCCUGACACCUAAAGGAUAAAGAAGAGCUUAAUGAUCUGAUGUGAGGUUUUAAAAUUUGCAGAAUCUUGGCCAGGUGCGGUGGCUCACGCCUGUAAUCCCAGCACUUUGGGAGGCCGAGGCAGGCGGAUCACGAGAUCAGGAGAUCGAGGCCAUCCUGGCUAACACGGUCUGGAGAUCAGAAGUCCAAAAAAUGGGUCUCACUGAGCUACAAUCAAGGUGUCAACAGGCUGUGUCCUUUCCUGGAGGCUCUAGGAGAGAAUCGGUAUCCUUGCUCUUUUCCCACUUCCAGAGGCUGCCACAUUCCUUGGCUGGUGGCUCCUUCCUCCGUCUUCAAAGCCAGCGACAGAUGAUGAAUGGAGUCCUUUCACGUGGCUCGCUCUGCCCUUGUUCCUGCUGUCAUAUCCCCCCUUCUCUGUCUGACUUUUCUGUCCCCUUCCUCCACUCUUGUCAUUACUUUGGGCCCAUCUGAAAAUCCUGGAUCGUCCCCCUAAUUAAAGUCAGUGGACUAGCAACUUUAA